UUCUAAGCCUUGCCUAAUCAGUUUUAAGUAAUGUUUAUGUAAAUUUGAAAAUUGAAUAGAAGGAAUUAAUAUUAUAACAAGGGUGAUUCUUAAAUUAAGGCAUGUUUAUCUGAGAAAUAAGAACCCACAAGAGUGGCUUGCCCAUUGUUGCCAGUUUCUAUGUUUCCUUUAGGAUUUUGCAAAUGGGCAUCAUUUCUAUUUUUGGCCCAGUUUCCAUUUCCUUGGUAACAAGGAUCCUGCAAAUAGAGGACUGUGAGUCCUAUAAGGUUCACAGACCACAAGCAGGGCUCACUCAGGUCUCUCAGAGUGUGCUGAGAAUCCACAGCACUGCUAAGGAGAGGAAACAAGAAGUCACUGGCCAAGGAUAUUGUGUUCACUGUUUAUAUCCUGUUGCCUUGGAUUUUCAGUGUUUCACUUUACUUUCUAUGCCAAAUAUUUUACACAGUCAAUUUCUGACUAAAAGCCAGUGAAAUUAAAUAAACAGGGAAGUGUGGAAUGAAACAGAAGCACUGAGAAUUUGGGCGAGGGUUGUCUACCUCCAGGGCUAAGACGGUGGUGAAGCAGGUGCUUUGGUCCACUUCUCUGAAAGUCUACCUGCUCAGUGCCCUCUGGAUCCCUACAUUCAAGGUCCAAAACUCCUUUCUUCCACGCCUACCUCCACUGAUGGCCAGUGGACCUAGUGCCAUCUGACGGAACCUUACAAAGGCUAACUGAGCAAGUGUGUAUGGGCUGAGGUUUUCAUAAGUUAACCUUUUGAAAAUCAGUUUUUAACUCUUAAACCCAAAAAAGUUAAUGUGAGAUGUCAAAUUUUCCCCAGUGAAUUAAUAAUUAGUAUCUGUUUUUUCAAAACCGUAUCAGUUCAGUUCUUUCAUUCAUUCGUGUCUGACUCUGUGACCUCAUGGACUGCAGCAUUCCAGGCUGCAGUCCAUGGGGUCGAGAAGAGUUGGACACGAAUGAGCGACUUCACUUUCACUUUUCACUUUCAUGCAUUGGAGAAGGAAAUAGCAACCCACUCCAGUGUUCUUGCCUGGAGAAUCCCAGGGAUGGCAGAGCCUGGUGAGCUGCUGUCUAUGGGGUCGCACAGAGUCAGACACGACUGAAGCAGCUUAGUAGUAGUAGUAGUAGACUAAUAACCUC
ensembl:lncRNA